rnacentral:misc_RNA from 1 species
GAUGAAGAACGCAGCGAAAUGCGAUACUUGGUGUGAAUUGCAGAAUCCCGUGAACCAUCGAGUCUUUGAACGCAAGUUGCGCCCGAAGCCAUUAGGCCGAGGGCACGCCUGCCUGGGCGUCACACGUCGUUGCCCCCCCAUCUACUCCUUCGGGAUUGCGGGGGGCGGAUGAUGGCCUCCCGUGCGCCUCGUCGCGCGGUUGGCAUAAAUGCCAAGUCCUCGGCGACGCACGCCACGACAAUCGGUGGUUGCGAAACCUCGGUUGCCCGUCGUGUGCGGUCGUCGCGCAUCGAGGGCUCGAAAAAAUUGCCGGGCUUCGGCUCGACUUUCAACGCGACCCCAGGUCAGGCGGGGUUACCCGCUGAAUUUAAGCAUAUCAAUAAGCGGAGGA